AAUCCACCCCUCUCUCGUACGGCGCUACCUAGGGUUGCGACUCACGCCGCCACCGACGGCCAUCACAGGGGCCACCUUCCUUCCACCACCACCCACCCCAGUCGCGAGCGUCCACCUCCCCCUCCCUCCCAUGGCGCCACUGCCCCAACCCAUGCCCAGCUCCCUCUUCCCACCUUUCCAUGGCAGGAGAUCUGAGGAGCGCAAGGGCCCUUCGCUCCUAGUGGUCUGAAGCGAGGCAGGCGGCCUCUGCUUCCUCCGCGUCCAGCGAAGUAGGAAUAGGGUGGCAGGUGGCCCCAUCUCCCCAUCUACUAUCAGUGACCACGAGUAGCCACCCAUGGCAGCAACGACAUGGCUUUCCACUGAUGAGAGAAAAAUGGCCGUUCACAAGACUACGACCACUGAUGACAAGAGGAUUCAAAGGACCUUGAAAAUGUGCAAGCAUCCAUAACUUCAAACACAUGGGUUGUCACUUGUCAGUGGAACACCAUGGACAAAAAAGCUACAAGAUCUACGGGCAACACUUAUCAACCAACUUCUGUAAGGUCUGACUGGUUUUGGAUAGAAAUAUUCAAUAGAGAACUCUGUAAUCAAACCUACCCACAUGUUAACAUGUGAGGGUGCAACUGAAUUGCUGUACAUGAAUCUGGAACGAGAGAGGAAGAACUGAGGAUUCUUCAAGAAGCUGCUUCUAUUUAUGCACAAUGGCGUAGUAGCCAGCACGCGUAAUUUUUCCAUUCUACCCAGCCAUGAAGAAGGCGCCCACCCAUGAGCUAUUAAUCAGAAGCAAACAUAAGGAAAUGAACCAUGAAGCCGGCGAUCCACGUCAACUGGAUGUUUUAGCUUUCAUUUUGUACAACUGAUGUCUCAUAGUUGUGUCUUUUUGCUGUCCUUAUGUAAACCUAAUGUAUGGUAUCUUGUCUUGCUGGUUAGAACAAAUUGAACUCUAUGUAUGUGACAAUUAGUUAAUGGAAUAAAAAUGGUUUGGUGCACCUGAC